rnacentral:rRNA from 1 species
AGUGAACGCUGGCGGUAGGCCUAACACAUGCAAGUCGAACGGCAGCACAGUAAGAGCUUGCUCUUACGGGUGGCGAGUGGCGGACGGGUGAGGAAUACAUCGGAAUCUACUUUUUCGUGGGGGAUAACGUAGGGAAACUUACGCUAAUACCGCAUACGACCUACGGGUGAAAGCAGGGGAUCUUCGGACCUUGCGCGAUUGAAUGAGCCGAUGUCGGAUUAGCUAGUUGGCGGGGUAAAGGCCCACCAAGGCGACGAUCCGUAGCUGGUCUGAGAGGAUGAUCAGCCACACUGGAACUGAGACACGGUCCAGACGCCUACGGGAGGCAGCAGUGGGGAAUAUUGGACAAUAGGCGCAAGCCUGAUCCAGCCAUACCGCGUGGGUGAAGAAGGCCUUCGGGUUGUAAAGCCCUUUUGUUGGGAAAGAAAAGCAGCAGGUUAAUACCCCGCUGUUCUGACGGUACCCAAAGAAUAAGCACCGGCUAACUUCGUG